rnacentral:rRNA from 1 species
GUGCCAGCCGCCGCGGUAAUACGUAGGUGGCAAGCGUUACUCGGAAUCACUAGGCGUAAAGCGCAGGUAGGCGGUUUGAUAAGUCUGUUGUGAAAGCUCCCGGCUUAACUGGGAGAGGCCAACGGAAACUGUCAGGCUAGAGUGUGGUAGAGGAAGAUGGAAUUCCCGGUGUAGCGGUGAAAUGCGUAGAUAUCGGGAGGAAUACCUAUGGCGAAAGCAGUCUUCUGGACCAUCACUGACGCUGAUCUGCGAAAGCUAGGGGAGCAAACAGGAUUAGAAACCCCCGUAGUCC